UGCAGUGUGGCAUAGUGGUUUGAGUGUUGGACUACGAUUCUGGAGAGCAGGGUUUAAUUCCCAGCUCAGCCA